AGCUAACGCCGUGAAGUUGACCGCCUGGGGGAGUACGGUCGCAAGAUUAAAACUCAAAGGAAUUGACGGGGACCCGCACAAGCGGUGGAUGAUGUGGAUUAAUUCGAUGCAACGCGAAAAACCUUACCUACCCUUGACAUGGUCGGAAUCCCGCUGAGAGGUGGGAGUGCUCCAAAGAGAACCGGCGCACAGGUGGUGCAUGGUUGUCCUCAAAAUUCUCCUCA
rnacentral:rRNA from 1 species